AUACGUAGGUGGCGAGCGUUGUCCGGAUUUACUGGGCGUAAAGGGAGCGUAGGCGGAUUUUUAAGUGAGAUGUGAAAGGCUACGGCUCAACCGUAGUAAGCUCUUGAAACUGGGAAACUUGAGUGCAGGAGAGGAAAGUGGAAUUCCUAGUGUAGCGGUGAAAUGCGUAGAGAUUAGGAAGAACACCAGUGGCGAAGGCGCUUCUCUGGACUGUAACCGACGCUGAGGCUCGAAAGCGU
rnacentral:rRNA from 1 species